UGUCCUGUCAUAUAACACACUGCGAUGAGUCUUCGGAUGUGGCAUCUAACAAAAAAGAAAGCUGCACAUGGUCACUCUGUGUGUUGAGUUGAAACUGAGGUUCAGAAAGAGCAAGUGAUCUGCCCAAGGUCAUCUACCUAGUAAGUGGCAGAGCUAGGACUGUAUGUUCUAGCUCCACGUCUGAUCAACAUCCAUGGACAAUAACAGGAAGCUGCUGGAAGGUACACAUCUUGGGAGUUUGCCCUUUGAAGCUCACCUGUGGACCUUU
rnacentral:lncRNA from 10 species